ACCUAACAAGAUUUGUUUUAUUUAAAAUGCUUACAACCCAACAACCAAUCAUUGAUUUAUAUAUGCGAUUUAAAAUUGGAGAAAAAGGAAAAAAGGUGGAUGAAAUGGGGCCUCCAUAGAAACAUGCUUUUAAAAUUUGUACAGUUUUCCCUCUCUUCUCUCAUCACUUCCAACAUACCUUUUCUUUAAGAAAUCAUUUUCCCAAACCAACAGCCCCCUAUACCAACUUGUACCCAAUGCUUUAAGAGUUGUACACAUCUCUAAAUUCACCAACUUCCACCCUGGAAAAAAGACCAAACCUUCUUUUUGCUCAUCAUUAUCAGCAGAGCUGACCAACUUAAAUACACCAACAGAUCUGCACACCACAAUCCCCACCUUCCCCACAGCCCAAAACCACCAUUUUUAACCAAAUUUACACACUGACACACAGUGUGAAAAACAGCAUCAAUCUUUCAUCUUCUGCAAGUAAGUUUCUAUAUCCCUUUCUUUAACUACAUUGUCUUCUUUGCAUUCAAUUCUUUCAUCACAAUUUUAUAUAAUAAUUUAAUAAACUUUGAAGGCAAAAAAAUAAAAGAAAUAAGCUUCUGCACACAAGAAUCACAUCCGCUAAAAACCAAUCAUUGUAGGUUUAAUACAUUACAAUAUCAAAAAAUCAAAAAAAAAAAAACUUAUACCAUAACCUCUAUUCUACACACACACUCUAAAAAUGGAGUUCAACUGGGGUGGUUGAGCCUCCUCCUCACUCGCUCACUCACUUCUAUGCUUCUAAAACCUCCCCCUUUUCCAUUUAGGGGUAAUAUUGUAAAUAUCAGCAACUCGCCGAUGUAUAAUUACACUCUGUAAGAAAAAAUAUAUAUAUAUAUGUUCUGUGCAUGAUUUUGGCAUAUUUGAAGGCCAAAUAAUUAUGAGGGGGAAUACUAGCCAUAUUCGAAACCCUCCAAAAAUGAAGAAACAAAAAACAAUGCAUGUCAACUAGUAAAAUGUAAAUCCUUGAUCUACUUGUGGUUGUUCUGGAAUGUACCGGAACAUUCCAGAUUUUGAUGCAGAUCUUGAUGUUGAUCAAACCUUUUUGUUUAAAAAAUCAGGCUGAUAUGAUAUGAGAUGCAAAAUCCUAUGAAAAAACUCUACAUUACAUGGGAAUAAUCAAAUCAAAGGCAAUGGAGAAGAGCCCUUUUGCAAGGUGGAGGUUGUGAAGUUCUGAUUCCUGGCUUUGGUGGUGGUGUUGAUUCCAUUC
rnacentral:lncRNA from 1 species